UAUAGAGGGUGCGAGCGUUAAUCGGAAUUACUGGGCGUAAAGCGCGCGUAGGCGGCUUUGCAAGUCGGGUGUGAAAUCCCCAGGCUCAACCUGGGAACUGCAUUCGAGACUGCAUUGCUAGAGUAUGGGAGAGGGAAGUGGAAUUUCCGGUGUAGCGGUGAAAUGCGUAGAUAUCGGAAGGGACAUCAGUGGCGAAAGCGACUUCCUGGACCAAUACUGACGCUCAUGUGCGAAAGCGUGGGGAGCAAACAGG
rnacentral:rRNA from 1 species